GUGAAUCAUCAAAUUUUUGAACGCAAAUUGCACUCCCUGGUAUUCCGGGGAGUAUGCCUGUAUAAAAGUCGUUCGAAAAAAAAAAAAAAGCAUCGCUCUUUUUUAUAAGGGUGAUCGAAAAAGCAUUGCGCCGUCUUUAAAAUAUAAAAUACUAAAAAAGUGGCUUGAACUUCAUCCAUCCGGUACGAUUCAAGAAAAUUUAAGAUCAAUCUUGAUUAAGAACGCGCGAUGACGUACCAUCUCAUGUAGUCCGUUUGACUCGGCGUCGUCAGGAUCAUACGACUACGAUCCUCGAC
rnacentral:misc_RNA from 1 species